CGUUCCCGGGCCUUGUACACACCGCCCGUCACACCACGAAAGUCGGUAACACCCGAAGCCAGUGGCCCAACCCUUUGGGAGGGAGCUGUCGAAGGUGGGAUUGGCGAUUGGGGUG
rnacentral:rRNA from 1 species